rnacentral:rRNA from 1 species
GAANUUAAAGGCUGUGGCUUAACCAUAGUACGCUUUGGAAACUGUUUAACUUGAGUGCAGAAGGGGAGAGUGGAAUUCCAUGUGUAGCAGUGAAAUGCGUAGAUAUAUGGAGGAACACCGGUGGCGAAAGCGGCUCUCUGGUCUGUAACUGACGCUGAGGCUNGAAAGCGUGGGGAGCGAACAGGAUUAGAUACCCUGGUAGUCCACGCCGUAAACGAUGAGUGCUAGGUGUUAGGCCCUUUCCGGGGCUUAGUGCCGCAGCUAACGCAUUAAGCACUCCGCCUGGGGAGUACGACCGCAAGGUUGAAACUCAAAGGAAUAGACGGGGGCCCGCACAAGCGGUGGAGCAUGUGGUUUAAUUCGAAGCAACGCGAAGAACCUUACCAGGUCUUGACAUCCCGAUGCCCGCUCUAGAGAUAGAGUUUUACUUCGGUACACCGGUGACAGGUGGUGCAUGGUUGUCGUCAGCUCGUGUCGUGAGAUGUUGGGUUAAGUCCCGCAACGAGCGCAACCCUUAUUGUUAGUUGCCAUCAUUCAGUUGGGCACUCUAGCGAGACUGCCGGUAAUAAACCGGAGGAAGGUGGGGAUGACGUCAAAUCAUCAUGCCCCUUAUGACCUGGGCUACACACGUGCUACAAUGGCUGGUACAACGAGUCGCAAGUCGGUGACGGCAAGCUAAUCUCUUAAAGCCAGUCUCAGUUCGGAUUGUAGGCUGCAACUCGCCUACAUGAAGUCGGAAUCGCUAGUAAUCGCGGAUCAGCACGCCGCGGUGAAUACGUUCCCGGGCCUUGUACACACCGCCCGUCACACCACGAGAGUUUGUAACACCCGAAGUCGGUGAGGUAACCUUUUAGGAGCCAGCCG